AGCGCACACGGUGGAUGCCUUGGCGGUCAGAGGCGAUGAAGGACGUGGCAGCCUGCGAAAAGUGUCGGGGAGCUGGCAACAAGCUUUGAUCCGGCAAUGUCCGAAUGGGGAAACCCACUGCUUCGGCAGUAUCCUGCAGUGAAUUCAUAGCUGCUGGAAGCGAACCCGGUGAACUGAAAUAUCUAAGUAACCGGAGGAAAAGAAAUCAACCGAGAUUCCCUAAGUAGUGACGAGCGAACGGGGACUAGCCCUUAAGCUGGUAUGGUUUUAGAAAAACAACCUGGAAAGGUUGGCCAUAGAAGGUGAUAGCCCUGUAUUUAAAAGGGCCAUACCAGUGAAGACGAGUAGGGCGGGGCACGUGAAACCCUGUCUGAACAUGGGGGGACCAUCCUCCAAGGCUAAAUACUCCUGACCGACCGAUAGUGAACCAGUACCGUGAGGGAAAGGCGAAAAGAACCCCGGAGAGGGGAGUGAAAUAGAUCCUGAAACCGUGUGCGUACAAGCAGUAGGAGCUCGUAAGAGUGACUGCGUACCUUUUGUAUAAUGGGUCAGCGACUUACUGUUCGUGGCAAGCUUAACCGUAUAGGGGAGGCGAAGGGAAACCGAGUCUGAUAAGGGCGCAUAGUCGCGGGCAGUAGACCCGAAACCGGGUGAUCUAGUCAUGCCCAGGGUGAAGGUCAGGUAACACUGACUGGAGGCCCGAACCCACUCCCGUUGCAAAGGUAGGGGAUGAGGUGUGAUUAGGAGUGAAAAGCUAAUCGAACCCGGAGAUAGCUGGUUCUCCUCGAAAGCUAUUUAGGUAGCGCCUCAUAUGUAUCCUCUCGGGGGUAGAGCACUGUUAUGGCUAGGGGGUCAUCGCGACUUACCAAACCAUUGCAAACUCCGAAUACCGAGACGGACUGUAUGGGAGACACACGGCGGGUGCUAACGUCCGUCGUGAAAAGGGAAACAACCCAGACCCACAGCUAAGGUCCCAAAUUCACUGCUAAGUGGAAAACGAUGUGGAAAGGCAUAGACAGCCAGGAGGUUGGCUUAGAAGCAGCCACCCUUUAAAGAAAGCGUAAUAGCUCACUGGUCGAGUCGGUCUGCGCGGAAGAUUUAACGGGGCUAAGCAGUGAACCGAAGCUUGGGGUGCAUCGCGUUAAGCGAUGCGCGGUAGAGGAGCGUUCCGUAAGCCUGCGAAGGUGGAUUGAGAAGUCUGCUGGAGGUAUCGGAAGUGCGAAUGCUGACAUGAGUAACGAUAAUGCGGGUGAAAAACCCGCACGCCGAAAGCCCAAGGUUUCCUUGCGCAACGUUAAUCGGCGCAGGGUGAGUCGGCCCCUAAGGCGAGGGCGAAAGCCGUAGUCGAUGGGAAGCAGGUUAAUAUUCCUGCACCUCGCGUAAGUGCGAUGGAGGGACGGAGAAGGUUAGGUGUACCGGGCGUUGGUUGUCCCGGGGAAAGGCGGUAGGUUUGGAUCCUUGGCAAAUCCGGGGUCCUUUAAGACCGAGCACCGAGACGAGUCUUUGAGACGAAGUCACUGAUACCACGCUUCCAGGAAAAGCUCCUAAGCUUCAGCUUACGCAGACCGUACCGUAAACCGACACAGGUGGGUAGGAUGAGAAUUCUCAGGCGCUUGAGAGAACUCGGGUGAAGGAACUAGGCAACAUGGCACCGUAACUUCGGGAGAAGGUGCACCCUUUUUGGUGGCUCGUGCGAGCUAUAGCUGAAGAGGGUCGCAGAAACCAGGCCGCUGCGACUGUUUAUCAAAAACACAGCACUCUGCAAACACGAAAGUGGACGUAUAGGGUGUGACGCCUGCCCGGUGCUGGAAGGUUAAUUGAUGGGGUCAGCCGCAAGGCGAAGCUCUUGAUCGAAGCCCCAGUAAACGGCGGCCGUAACUAUAACGGUCCUAAGGUAGCGAAAUUCCUUGUCGGGUAAGUUCCGACCUGCACGAAUGGCGUAACGACAGCGGCGCUGUCUCCACCCGAGACUCAGUGAAAUUGAAAUCGCUGUGAAGAUGCAGCGUUCCCGUGGCAAGACGGAAAGACCCCGUGAACCUUUACUAUAGCUUUACACUGAACGUUGAGUUCGUCUGUGUAGGAUAGGUGGGAGGCUAUGAAACCAUGGCGCUAGCUGUGGUGGAGCCAUCCUUGAAAUACCACCCUGUCGUGCUUGACGUUCUAACCUAGGUCCGUAAUCCGGAUCGGGGACCGUGUAUGGUGGGUAGUUUGACUGGGGCGGUCUCCUCCUAAAGAGUAACGGAGGAGCACGAAGGUACGCUCAGCGCGGUCGGACAUCGCGCACUGUGUGCAAAGGCAUAAGCGUGCUUGACUGCAAGAUCGACGGAUCAAGCAGGUACGAAAGUAGGUCUUAGUGAUCCGGUGGUUCUGUAUGGAAGGGCCAUCGCUCAACGGAUAAAAGGUACUCCGGGGAUAACAGGCUGAUACCGCCCAAGAGUUCAUAUCGACGGCGGUGUUUGGCACCUCGAUGUCGGCUCAUCACAUCCUGGGGCUGUAGUCGGUCCCAAGGGUAUGGCUGUUCGCCAUUUAAAGUGGUACGCGAGCUGGGUUCAGAACGUCGUGAGACAGUUCGGUCCCUAUCUGCCAUGGGCGUUGGAGAUUUGAGAGGGGCUGCUCCUAGUACGAGAGGACCGGAGUGGACGAACCUCUGGUGUUCCGGUUGUCACGCCAGUGGCAUUGCCGGGUAGCUAUGUUCGGAAGCGAUAACCGCUGAAAGCAUCUAAGCGGGAAGCGCGCCUCAAGAUGAGAUCUCCCGGGACACAAGUCCCCUAAAGGAACCAUGUAGACUACGUGGUUGAUAGGUCAGGUGUGUAAGUGCAGCAAUGCAUUGAGCUAACUGAUACUAAUGAUCCGUGCGGCUUGACC
rnacentral:rRNA from 1 species